UAAGUACUGAAUAACCCAAUUGUUUUGCCAUUUGCACUCCACAAAUCUGAUUUGGACUCUCCACUUAUUCUUCACUGAGGUAAUGCAAUUGACUUCCUUGGAAGUAAUUGCCGAUUACAGUAAUUUAAAGGCUUGUCUACAUGAAGCAUUUUGUACCGACUGAAUUAGGGUGUGAAAGUAAAUCACAUUAGCUCUUCCCCAAGUCUCUGUGUGGACACUCCUAUUCUGGGUGCCUUCAUGGAGUUUGGAUUUAAUCCACUUCCAAAAUUAAUUAACAUAUUAAUUUAUUCUGUGCUAACUUUCUCACAGUUAUCAAGCUAACUCAGUAUUGUUCCCAUUAGCUGUAAGCUCCCAAGUCACCUGUCUCUUCUCUUUCUCUUUCAUUUAUUCCUCUUAUCCUGCAGUGUGGUUAUAUACUCUGCUUCUGAAAUAUUCUCAAUCCUGGAAUUGGCCAUUUCGGAGCUAAAUAUUUCAUGUUGAGUCCUCUCUCUGUGUCUCAGUGUGAUGAGGAGGAUACAUAGUUACAUGUGAAACUCUCAGGUCCCUGCAGUGAAGUUUAGACAGAAAAAAACUGACUGGAAACUUGCUGAAGCUGAUACAACAGGAUGGUGGGCUUUUGUCCAUGCCUAAACURCAGUGGCUGCACCUACAGUAUCAGAUGAGAUCAAAUGAGGAUCUUCCUCUCACUCCCAAGAAGUCUGACUCAACUGAGAUAUGCACCAGGUGAACACACCAAACCAAAGAGCUGGAACAUUCACGUGAAGAGAAGCUGCUGCAACUUGCCU